rnacentral:rRNA from 1 species
CCUGAUGCAGCGACGCCGCGUGAGGGAUGACGGCCUUCGGGUUGUAAACCUCUUUCAGCAGGGAAGAAGCGAAAGUGACGGUACCUGCAGAAGAAGCGCCGGCUAACUACGUGCCAGCAGCCGCGGUAAUACGUAGGGCGCAAGCGUUGUCCGGAAUUAUUGGGCGUAAAGAGCUCGUAGGCGGCUUGUCACGUCGGGUGUGAAAGCCCGGGGCUUAACCCCGGGUCUGCAUUCGAUACGGGCUAGCUAGAGUGUGGUAGGGGAGAUCGGAAUUCCUGGUGUAGCGGUGAAAUGCGCAGAUAUCAGGAGGAACACCGGUGGCGAAGGCGGAUCUCUGGGCCAUUACUGACGCUGAGGAGCGAAAGCGUGGGGAGCGAACAGGAUUAGAUACCCUGGUAGUCCACGCCGUAAACGGUGGGAACUAGGUGUUGGCGACAUUCCACGUCGUCGGUGCCGCAGCUAACGCAUUAA